rnacentral:rRNA from 1 species
GCUUAACUCCAGAAGUGCAUCUGGAUACUGGCAGACUUGAGUGCGGUAAGGAAAACUGAACUUCAUGUGGAACGGUGGAAUGCGUCAAAUUAUGGAAGAACCCCCGGGGGCAAAGGCGGUGCCCUGGCUGUAUCUGAACCUUAAGCACCAAAACCUGGGUAACCAAAAAGAAUAAAAACCCUGGUAAUCCCUGCCCGAAAACAUUAGUGGUUAGGGGUGGAGAUGUUCCCCCCUUCUUCGCUGCCGCAAAUAAAUUAUUAACUCCCCCUGCUGAGUACUACCGCCAGGUUGAAACUCAUAGGAAUUGACGACGGCCCGCCCAACCGGUGGAGCAUGUGGUUUAAUAAUUCGCUACGCGAAGAACCUUACUACCUCUUGACGACUUCUGCUGGACUUACCCUGAAAAGGUUCCCUUCUUGGACAUAAUGACCAGGGGUGGAUGGGUUGCCUCCACUUCUGGCCUGGAAAGGUUGGUUAAAUCCCCCAACGAGCGCACCCUUAGUAUCAUGUUGCCACAUUCAGAUGGCCACUAUGCUGAGACUGCUGGUGACGACCCCUAGGAAGGUGGGGAUGACGACGUAUCAUCAUGCCGCUUAUGAUGUGGGGGCUCCCGUGCUACUAUGGUGGGCACUACG